CCCGGCAGGAGCGGACGCGGGCAGAAGCAGGCAGUGGCACUGUCUAUCCAACGCGCCACAGAGUGGCCAUGGGGACUCUUCUCUGGUGAAAAUGAAGAUGGUGUGGGCCCAGCAGCUUGUCAGUGAUUGAUGGUUUAUAGCUCUGUCAACGUUUUCUUCCCACUGGGUUCAACUUAACACAAGAGAGAAUUGGAAGCCAGGCUCAGCUAGAAGAUCUAUCUCAGGCUGGAGAGAUGGUUCAGCGGUUAAGAGCAUCGAGUGAUCUUCCAGAGGUCCUGAGUUCAAUUCCCAGCAA
rnacentral:sRNA from 1 species